rnacentral:rRNA from 1 species
GACGUAGGGCGCGGGCGUUGUCCGGAUUUAUUGGGCGUAAAGAGCUCGUAGGCGGCUUGUCGCGUCGAAUGUGAAAACCCACGGCUCAACUGUGGGCUUGCAUUCGAUACGGGCAGGCUAGAGUUCGGUAGGGGAGACUGGAAUUCCUGGUGUAGCGGUGAAAUGCGCAGAUAUCAGGAGGAACACCAAUUGCGAAGGCAGCUCGCUGGGACGUUACUGACGCUGAUGCGCGAAAGCGUGGGGAGCAAACAGG